GAUGAACGCUAGCUACAGGCUUAACACAUGCAAGUCGAGGGGAAACGGCAUUAAGUGCUUGCACUUUUUGGACGUCGACCGGCGCACGGGUGAGUAACGCGUAUCCAACCUUCCCAUGACUAAGGGAUAACCUGCCGAAAGGCAGACUAAUACCUUAUGGUCUUCACUGACGGCAUCAGAUGUGAAGUAAAGAUUUAUCGGUUAUGGAUGGGGAUGCGUCUGAUUAGUUAGUGGCGGGGUAACGGCCCACCAAGGCAACGAUCAGUAGGGGUUCUGAGAGGAAGGUCCCCCACAUGGAACUGAGACACGGUCCAAACUCCUACGGGAGGCAGCAGUGAGGAAUAUUGGUCAAUGGGCGAGAGCCUGAACCAGCCAAGUAGCGUGCAGGACGACGGCCCUAUGGGUUGUAAACUGCUUUUGUAUGGGGAUAAAGUCAAUCACGUGUGAUUGUUUGCAGGUACCAUACGAAUAAGGACCGGCUAAUUCCGUGCCAGCAGCCGCGGUAAUACGGAAGGUCCGGGCGUUAUCCGGAUUUAUUGGGUUUAAAGGGAGCGUAGGCUGGAGAUUAAGUGUGUUGUGAAAUGUAGACGCUCAACGUCUGACUUGCAGCGCAUACUGGUUUCCUUGAGUACGCACAACGUUGGCGGAAUUCGUCGUGUAGCGGUGAAAUGCUUAGAUAUGACGAAGAACUCCGAUUGCGAAGGCAGCUGACGGGAGCGCAACUGACGCUGAAGCUCGAAGGUGCGGGUAUCGAACAGG
rnacentral:rRNA from 1 species